rnacentral:rRNA from 1 species
UACACGAGCGGCGAACGGGUGAGUAACACGUGGGUGAUCUGCCUUGCACUUCGGGAUAAGCCUGGGAAACUGGGUCUAAUACCGGAUAUGACCUUCCAGUGCAUGCUGGUUGGUGGAAAGAUUUAUCGGUGCGAGAUGGGCCCGCGGCCUAUCAGCUUGUUGGUGAGGUAACGGCUCACCAAGGCGACGACGGGUAGCCGACCUGAGAGGGUGACCGGCCACACUGGGACUGAGACACGGCCCAGACUCCUACGGGAGGCAGCAGUGGGGAAUAUUGCACAAUGGGCGAAAGCCUGAUGCAGCGACGCCGCGUGCGGGAUGACGGCCUUCGGGUUGUAAACCGCUUUUGACAGGGACGAAGCGCAAGUGACUGUACCUGUAGAAUAAGGACCGGCCAACUACGUGCCA